rnacentral:rRNA from 1 species
UACGUAGGGUGCAAGCGUUGUCCGGAAUUAUUGGGCGUAAAGAGCGUGUAGGCGGCCCGACCAGUCCGCUGUGAAAACUCCAGGCUCAACCUGGAGCCGCCAUUCGAUAUUGCUAUGGCUAGAGUCCGGUAGGGGAGUGUGGAAUUCCCGGUGUAGCGGUGAAAUGCGCAGAUAUCGGGAGGAACACCGAUGGCGAAGGCAGCACUCUGGGCCGGCACUGACGCUGAGGAGCGAAAGCGUGGGGAGCGAACAGG